GACGAACGCUGGCGGCGUGCUUAACACAUGCAAGUCGAACGGAAAGGCCCCUUUGGGGGUACUCGAGUGGCGAACGGGUGAGUAACACGUGAGUAACCUGCCCUUGACUUCGGGAUAACUUCAGGAAACUGGGGCUAAUACCGGAUAGGAAUCAUUGCUGCAUGGUGGGGGUUGGAAAGCUUCGGCGGUUUUGGGUGGACUCGCGGCCUAUCAGCUUGCUGGUGGGGUAGUGGCUUACCCAGGCUUUGACGGGUAGCCGGCCUGGGGGGGCGACCGGCCACCUUGGGACUGAGAUACGGCCCAGACUCCUACGGGGGGCCGCAGUGGGGAAUAUUGCCCAAUGGGCGGAAGCCUGAUGCCGCAACGCCGCGUGCGGGAUGACGGCCUUCGGGUUGUAAACCGCUUUCAGCAGGGGCGAAGCUUGUGGUGACGGUACCUGCAGAAGAAGCACCGGCUAACUACGUG
rnacentral:rRNA from 1 species